GGGUUGUGAGGUUAAGCGACUAAGCGUACACGGUGGAUGCCCUGGCAGUCAGAGGCGAUGAAGGACGUGCUAAUCUGCGAUAAGCGUCGGUAAGGUGAUAUGAACCGUUAUAACCGGCGAUUUCCGAAUGGGGAAACCCAGUGUGAUUCGUCACACUAUCAUUAACUGAAUCCAUAGGUUAAUGAGGCGAACCGGGGGAACUGAAACAUCUAAGUACCCCGAGGAAAAGAAAUCAACCGAGAUUCCCCCAGUAGCGGCGAGCGAACGGGGAGGAGCCCAGAGCCUGAAUCAGUGUGUGUGUUAGUGGAAGCGUCUGGAAAGGCGCGCGAUACAGGGUGACAGCCCCGUACACAAAAAUGCACAUGCUGUGAGCUCGAUGAGUAGGGCGGGACACGUGGUAUCCUGUCUGAAUAUGGGGGGACCAUCCUCCAAGGCUAAAUACUCCUGACUGACCGAUAGUGAACCAGUACCGUGAGGGAAAGGCGAAAAGAACCCCGGCGAGGGGAGUGAAAAAGAACCUGAAACCGUGUACGUACAAGCAGUGGGAGCACGCUUAGGCGUGUGACUGCGUACCUUUUGUAUAAUGGGUCAGCGACUUAUAUUCUGUAGCAAGGUUAACCGAAUAGGGGAGCC
rnacentral:rRNA from 1 species